ACUUUAAAAGCAAACUACUAUAUCCAUAUCUUUAUAUAUAAAAGAGACUUUCCAUCCCUCUUGGUGAUGCCAACAAGGACGACACGUCAGAAAUUCGGGUGACGUCGAGUCGACACGUGUCCCACUUCCAAAAACGCAUCACUUCAUUUAAGUAAGAAUCAAUUGGUGCGGAGUUUUAAUGUAUUGUGGGCUUUAUGUUUGAAUGAUUAGACCAGCUGGCCGGCCCGAUUGAACCAAACCUAUUCUCUUACGCGAAGAGUAAAACUUUUCGGCCCUUUGUUUGAUAACGACGUCUGAGCUUCAUCUUCAUCGCCGAAACGCUUCCAGUUACAAAAUCUUUGCAUUAAACCCCUUCUUAAAUCCACAACCAUGGUGUAGGCUUCAAUGCAUUAUGUGUGACGGUGUAUCUGCGAUUAUAAAAAGAUUAGUCUUGCUCCUCUGAAACCCAUCUUCUCAGUCCGUAAAAAAAAACGCAGUAAACUUAUAUUCUGAAAACGAAGUCAUCCAUCUUUCUCUCUGAUUCGAAGAUCGCACGCUGCUCCUCCACCGAUUGAGAUGCUGAAGUCGAUGACAAAGAGUGGAACUUGAAUUGAGAUUUGUCGAUUUUCUCAAAUAAUUGCAAAGAAUCACCUUCAGGAAGCGAUCAGAAUACUCCGUCUCCUCCAUGGUAUCCUCGCCGGUUCAUCAUACGGAUUGUCUGUGAGCACGAGUACUCGAUUUUGAAGACAUAAAAGGUUCUUCUAUGAAUUUCCCAUAUUUCUUAAGGUCGGUUUUGGAUUAUUUGAGAAAAUUUCACUUUCUGUGUUUUUUUUUUUGGAACCCGUUGAAGAACACACUGGUUGGAGCUGAGGCUAACCACAACUUGAAUAGCCAAGUGAACUCCAUAACCGUGGGAUGCUGGGAGCUCAACACGCUCUUGACCCAUUGACCACAGUGAAGGCAUGCGUGAACAAUGCAUGUAUAGCACUGAUCCAACACGGGUGGCAUCCAAUGUCGUUCAUCACCAUCUCUGGAGAGAUUGACUCUAGGGCGAUUGAGAAGAGUUCUAAGAUCACUGGUUCUUGGUGGUCUCUCUGAGAAAUAUCAUGGCUUAUAAAACUUCUGGGUGGUUGAUGGAAUCAACGAUAUCGAUGUGGAGACAUUGCGGAUAUUGAUGGUUUGAAGUUGGAUUAAUGUGAGCUUUGAUAUGGAGCUUUUUGGAUCAAACUCUUCUGAUGAGCAGCUUACCAGAGUUAGGAUUCUUAGACAGUUUGCAGUCAAUGAAUGGUAUUCGGGUGAGACACUUGAGAAGAUCAUAAUCAACGUCUCUGUUGUUGAAAGGUUGGUGGAGAUGCUGAAGUGAAAAGAUCUGCAAAAGGAAGAGAUUAUGAGAUCAGCUGCUGAUAUACUAUCAAAACUCGCUAGCAAACAGCAGAACUCUUUAAGAGCCGCUGGGAUAUCUGGUUCAAUGGAAUCUAUUUUUUCGUUAUUAGAGAGCACGAGAUCAUCAGGUGAAGCGCCUGAUGAGAUUGGAGAGAAAAGUGUUCCGUGACUCUAAUCUACACUAUGACUUCUGUAGAUUCAACAGUUUGGGACUCUUGAUCCUGAAGAAGCUAGCAAAAGAUCAUGAUAACUGUGGAAACCUCGGCAGCACAAGGGGUUUUCUCUCGAGGAUUAUUGAUUUCACGCACGUGGACCAAGUUCUAUUGUGGGAUGAGAGCGCAGACGUUACCAGGUCACAGGUCCUUGAAACGGUCGUGCAGCUGGUGAAAAUGUUAGUCAGCACGAUCGAGAACACAUGGAAGUGUCUCAGGAGGGAGAUCUCCGAGAUUGUUUUUACGGUGAGCAACGGGAGGGAUGUGCUGAGACACGGAAGCUCGAGAGAGAAUUGGUGGAACGGUGGUGUUUUGAAAGAGCUGUUCAUCAUUUUCUUUAAAACAUAUGGAGACGAUGGGAAUCAGGGAUGCGUGAGGAUCGCUGCAGGAAAACUCGUGGAAGCACUUGAAGUUCCACCGAUCCGUGUCAAUGUUGCAAGUUUAUAAUAGAGUGGCUUUUCUCAGAUGUUCCAGAUAAAAGAUGGUCAUAUCAGUAAGAAGAAGAAGAAAAAAAACAACUGACAAAUGUUUUACAAACUACAUAUAUAGCUUCGUGUAAAUGUAAUUGAAGGCUAAUAUCAUCAUCUAAGUGCUAAUCCUUUAUCAACCAUAGUUGAGAAAUAAGUAUAAGUUCCUUGAUUGCAGUACCAA